rnacentral:rRNA from 1 species
AGUAACGCGUGGAAAACCUGCCGUAUACUGGGGGAUAACACUUAGAGAUAGGUGCUAAUACCGCAUAAGCGCACAGCUUCGCAUGAAGUGGUGUGAAAAACUCUGGUGGUAUACGAUGGUUCCGCGUCUGAUUAGCUUGUUGGUGGGGUAAUGGCUCACCAAGGCGACGAUCAGUAGCCGGCCUGAGAGGGUGAACGGCCACAUUGGGACUGAGACACGGCCCAAACUCCUACGGAAGGCAGCAG